rnacentral:rRNA from 1 species
UGGCGGACGGGUGAGUAAUGUCUGGGAAACUGCCUGAUGGAGGGGGAUAACUACUGGAAACGGUAGCUAAUACCGCAUAACGUCGCAAGACCAAAGAGGGGGACCUUCGGGCCUCUUGCCAUCGGAUGUGCCCAGAUGGGAUUAGCUAGUAGGUGGGGUAAUGGCCCACCUAGGCGACGAUCCCUAGCUGGUCUGAGAGGAUGACCAGCCACACUGGAACUGAGACACGGUCCAG